AGAAUCAACGCUGGCGGCGUGCCUAACACAUGCAAGUCGAACGAGAAAGUGGAGCAAUCCAUGAGUAAAGUGGCGCACGGGUGAGUAACACGUGACUAACCUACCCUUGAGUGGGGAAUAACUUCGGGAAACCGAGGCUAAUACCGCAUAACACCUACGGGUCAAAGGAGCAAUUCGCUUAAGGAGGGGUCGCGGCAGAUUAGUUAGUUGGCGGGGUAAUGGCCCACCAAGACAGUGAUCUGUAUCC
rnacentral:rRNA from 1 species